AUAUUCUGAUCAGUGGUAGAGUGCUUGCCUGGUAUGCAUGAGGAUCUGGGUUCAAUUCCCUGCACCACAUA
rnacentral:tRNA from 1 species